AUUUUUCAAAGCCCCUUCGUGUCUCAAUCAUUAUGCACACACUGUCAGAGCAAAAUGGUAAUAAUACGAGAUGGGGUAACGGAAUCUGUUUCCAUAGCCUCACGCAUUCAACGUGAAAUGGGCAUCCUCGGUUUGUAAUUUUAUGAAAUGUAGUGUAACAAGCACUGUCCUUUCUUCUGUACCUGUUUUGUUUGUGGUGUCGCUCCCUGUUAAAGCGUGGAUUUUCACUUGUGCUGUGUGUGCUUUAACUGGAAGGUUGUUUAACUAAAGUGCCUUGAAGUGUGUGUAGCCUUCUACUUUUUCUCUUCUGGCUCUGGGCGACACAAAAGAAGAACCUUGGUUUCCGAGGCUGUUUGUUGUCACUGCUCAUUGCUGCAAAGUUGUAAUAUUUUGGCUGAUUCAGAUGGCUUUUGCGGUUGCAAGUUGAGAAUUUGAGAUGAGCAGCCAAAAGGGUCGUCAUGAGCAUGAAGAAGAGAUGGGUACCUCAGAAAGCACCGGUAAAGUGGUUGUGGUUGCAGUGAAAGCUUCUAGAGAUAUUUCAAGGACUGCUUUGGUGUGGGCUUUGACUCAUGUUGUUCAGCCAGGGGAUUGCAUUAAGCUGUUGGUUCUCAUUCCGACUCUUUCCUCAAACAAGAGGGUAUGGGGACUUUCAAGAUUUACUACUGAUUGUGCCUCGAGUCAUUGGAGAUCCAGUUUAGGAACCAUUUCAGAUCAGAAAGAAGUUAUUACAAAUUCCUGUUCUCAAUUAGUACUUCAACUCCAUGAUUUUUAUGAUCCAGAGAAGAUAAAAAUCAGAGUGAAGAUUCUUUCUGGUUCUUUAUGCGGAGCUGUUUCUGCUGAAGCCAAGAGAGUCCAGUCAAGCUGGGUUAUAUUGGACAAAAAAUUGAAGCAUGAAAAGAAAUACUGCAUGGAACAGCUGCAUUGCAAUAUUGUAAUUAUGAAGCGGUCUAGGCCAAAGAUUCUGCGCUUGAAUUUGAACAGUUCGUCUAAGAUGGAACUAAACAUGGCUUGUCCAUUGACACUUACAAAGAACUUCAAAGACAACUCUGAACAUGCAGAUAUAAUUAGAGGUCCAGCUGUUACUCCUGCUAGUAGUCCUGAGCAAGGGUCACCACUACUGACUGCAACUGAUAUUGGAACAUCAUCCAUAUCAAGCUCAGAUCCUGCAACUUCACCAUUUUUCCGCUCUGACAAUAAUGAAAGACAAAGGAGAGGUUUUACCUUUGUUCAUGAGGGACUGACAAACCUGGAGGAUAUCGAGUCUGACUCUGAGAGCGAAAAGCUAAGUAUGUCAUCCAAGAGUUCAUAUUUUCAGCCAUGGAUUGCAAAUGUAAUUUGCAUGGAUGGUGAUUUCUCAAGACAUGAGAACAACAUGCAAAGAUCCAGUGACAAGACUUUAGCUACUGCCUAUGAAGCUUUGCUUCAGAAAUUCUCAAAGUUGGAUCAAGAUCCUAUCCUAGGAAUGCUUAACUGUAAACUUGAUGUGAACUUAAGCAAAAGUGUUAGAGAAGCAAUUUCACUGGCUAAAACUUCAGCCCCUGGACCUCCCCCAUUGUGCUCCAUUUGUCAGCACAAGGCCCCUGUGUUUGGCAAUCCACCAAGGUGGUUUACAUUUUCUGAAUUGCAACUUGCCACAGGUGGUUUUUCACAAGCAAACUUCUUGGCAGAAGGUGGUUUUGGUUCUGUACACCGCGGUGUCCUGCCUGAUGGGCAAGUCAUUGCUGUCAAGCAGUACAAAUUAGCCAGUACUCAAGGAGACAAAGAGUUUUGCUCAGAAGUAGAGGUCUUAAGCUGUGCACAACAUCGCAAUGUUGUGAUGUUAAUUGGGUUCUGUGUGGAUGAUGGAAGAAGAUUGCUAGUUUAUGAAUACAUCUGCAAUGGCUCUCUGGAUUCUCAUCUCUACAGACGAAAGCAGAAUGUACUGGAAUGGUCUGCUAGGCAAAAGAUUGCAGUUGGAGCAGCUCGUGGCUUGAGAUACCUUCAUGAAGAAUGUAGAGUGGGUUGUAUUGUGCACCGUGACAUGCGGCCAAACAAUAUUCUUCUCACUCAUGAUUUCGAGGCUUUAGUAGGAGAUUUUGGACUAGCAAGGUGGCAGCCAGAUGGAGACAUGGGUGUGGAAACCAGGGUGAUAGGAACAUUUGGGUAUUUGGCGCCAGAAUAUGCUCAAAGUGGUCAAAUUACUGAAAAAGCUGACGUGUACUCGUUUGGGAUAGUAUUACUGGAGCUUGUCACAGGACGGAAAGCAGUAGAUAUAAAUCGGCCCAAGGGCCAGCAAUGCCUAAGUGAAUGGGCACGCCCAUUGCUUGAAAAACAAGCCAUUUACAAACUAGUAGAUCCGAGCUUAAGGAACUGCUAUGUUGAUCAAGAGGUUUAUCGCAUGCUGCAAUGUUCCUCUUUGUGCAUCGGACGCGAUCCUCAUUUAAGGCCACGAAUGUCUCAGGUGCUCAGGAUGCUGGAAGGUGACAUUCUCAUCUGAUUGCCUAUCACAUUUCCAUUUCCCAAGAACAUUAGUGUAGAACUAGUUCAAAGCUUCUUGCAGAUUCUUCAUUUGUAAAAAGCUUCGAGUUUUUCCUCCUAGAUUUUUAUAUCAAUGCUGUAAAUGUUGUCUUCGGUUUUGUGGAGAGGAGAGGUGUGUCAAUCACUCAAUGGAACAAGAUUGCCUCAACUCAACUAACCAAGGCACCGAUCUUCACAUAGUGUGACAUGAAAUGGUGUGUUUGGAAAUUAUGUUGGAAAGUUGAAAAAUUUAAAGCAACUAAUGUUUUGGGUUCAACUGCAUUUUAGAAUUGAUUUUUGCAUAAUUGAAAACUAAUGGGCCCUUUAGGCCUUGGACAAAGCCCCCAAGUUACUAGCUUAUGUUGAUAUAUAACGUGUUGACUUGUUAAUACUUACCUGACACUGAGGAUAAUUUAAUGUAUCCAAUUGUUGACAUGUACAUAUAUCGAGGUCUGAGAUGGGUUAAAACCAUCAAA